rnacentral:lncRNA from 1 species
CAACAACAACAACAAACCCAGUGUAUUCCCACUUGGUGGGGUCUGGGGGGGUAAGAUGUACGCAGUCCAUACCUCUACCUCUGAUGAAGUAGAAAGGCUGUUUCCGAAAGACCCCCGGCUCAAGUCACGAGAUAUCACACAAACACAUAGUACAGCACAGAAGCAGAUGACAUAACAUAGAUACGGCACCCAUAAGGAAUAUAAAACAGAGUAAAGCAGGAAUGCAGGAAUAUAAAGCAGAGGAAAGCACACAGAUUCGUAAUAAACAUGAAACACGGAACACGAAACACUGAAUACGGAAUCAUAACAGGAAUACACCCCCAU